rnacentral:rRNA from 1 species
AGCGAACAUUGGCGGUAGGCUUAACACAUGCAAGUCGAGCGAGGCGUAAUAGUCGAGCGGCGAACGGGUGCGUAAUACAUGGGAAUCUACCUCGAAGUGGGGGAUAACGUUCAGAAAUGGACGCUAAUACCGCAUAAUCCAUAUUGGGAAAGCGUUGCAGCGCUUUGAGAUGAGCCCAUGGCUGAUUAGCUAGUUGGUGAGGUAAUGGCUCACCAAGGCGACGAUCAGUAGCUGGUCUGAGAGGAUGACCAGCCACACUGGAACUGAGACACGGUCCAGACUCCUACGGGAGGCAGCAGUGGGGAAUCUUGCGCAAUGGGGGCAACCCUGACGCAGCCAUACCGCGUGAGUGAUGAAGGUCUUCGGAUUGUAAAGCUCUUUCGGCAGGGACGACGAUGACGGUACCCGCAAAAGAAGUCACGGCUAACUUCGUGCCAGCAGCCGCGGUAA